rnacentral:rRNA from 1 species
AGCGCAGGCGGACCGGCAAGUUGGGAGUGAAAUCCAUGGGCUCAACCCGUGAAUUGCUUUCAAAACUGCUGGCCUUGAGUAGUGCAGAGGUAGGUGGAAUUCCCGGUGUAGCGGUGGAAUGCGUAGAUAUCGGGAGGAACACCAGUGGCGAAGGCGACCUACUGGGCACCAACUGACGCUGAGGCUCGAAAGUGUGGGUAGCAAACA